rnacentral:rRNA from 1 species
CUAGGCGAUUCGCUAAGCGUCGAGAGGAUGCAGCCCCUGGACUGAACGUCCAGAUCCUUAACGAAGCAGCAGGGGAAAUUUUGGACCAUUGGGCGCAAGCUGAUUCAGGCAAUGCCGCGUGCUAUGAGGAAGCCCUUCCGGGUGUAACUGCUUUCGUCCGAGGACGAAAGGCCUUGAGGCUAUUAUCCUCAGCUACAUGACGUUACUCGUAAGAAUUAAGCACCGGCUAACUCGUGCAGCAGCCGCGGUAAUACGUAGGGUGCAAGCGUUAAUCGGAAAUUACUGGGCGUAAAGCCGUGCGCAGGCGGUUUUGGUAAGACAGAUGGUGAAAUCCCCGGGCUCAACCCUGGGAACUGCCCACUGUGACUGCCAAGCUAGAGUGUGGCAGAGGGGGAUAGAAUUCCCGCGUGUAGCAGUGAAAUGCGUAGAUAUGCGGAGGAACACCGAUGGCGAAGGCAAUCCCCUGGGCAAAGCACUGACGCUCAUGCACGAAAGCGUGGGGAGCAACACAGGAUUAGAUACCCUGGUAGUCCCACGCCCUAAAACGAUGUCAAUUGGUUGUUGGGUCUUAGAGGACUCAGUACCGAAGCUAACGCGUGAAGUCGACCGCCUGGGGAGUACGGCCGCAAGGUUGAAACUCAAAUGAAUUGACGGGGACCCGCACAAGCGGUGGAUGCAUGUGGUUUAAUUCGAUGCAACGCGAAAAACCUUACCCACUUUUGACAUGGCAGGAACUUACCAGAGAUGGUUUGGUGCUCGAAAGAGAUCCUGCACACAGGUGCUGCAUGGCUGUUGUCAGCUCGUGUCGAAAGAUGGUGGUAUAAGUCCCGCAACGAGCGCACCCCUUCCCAUUAGUUCAUACAUUCAGUUGAGCACUCUAAUGAGACUGCCGGUGACAAACCGGAGGAAGGUGGGGAUGACGUCAAGUCCUCAUGGCCCUUAUAGGUAGGGCUACACACGUCAUACAAUGGGCUGGUACAAAGGGUUGCCAACCCGCGAGGGGGAGCUAAUCCCAUAAAACCAGUCGUAGUCCGGAUCGCAGUCUGCAACUCGACUCCGUGAAGUCGGAAUCGCUAGUAAUCGUGGAUCAGAAUGUCACGGUGAAUACGUUCCCGGGUCUUGUACACCCCCCCCCUCCCCCCCUUGGAACUGGUCUCGCCAGAUGUUAUAGCCUAACCUCAAGGAGGGCGCUUACCACGGUUGUGAUUCAUGACUGGGUGAAGUCUAUCAAAGGACUACU